CAACCUGCCCACCACUUGGGGAUAACCUUGCGAAAGUAAGACUAAUACCCAAUGAUAUCUCUAGAAGACAUCUGAAAGAGAUUAAAGAUUUAUCGGUGAUGGAUGGGGAUGCGUCUGAUUAGCUUGUUGGCGGGGUAACGGCCCACCAAGGCGGCGAUCAGUAGGGGUUCUGAGAGGAAGGUCCCCCACAUUGGAACUGAGACACGGUCCAAACUCCUACGGGAGGCAGCAGUGAGGAAUAUUGGUCAAUGGACGAGAGUCUGAACCAGCCAAGUAGCGUGCAGGAUGACGGCCCUAUGGGUUGUAAACUGCUUUUAUAAGGGAAUAAAGUGAGUCUCGUGAGACUUUUUGCAUGUACCUUAUGAAUAAGGACCGGCUAAUUCCGUGCCAGCAGCCGCGGUAAUACGGAAGGUCCGGGCGUUAUCCGGAUUUAUUGGGUUUAAAGGGAGCGUAGGCCGGAGAUUAAGCGUGUUGUGAAAUGUAGAUGCUCAACAUCUGCACUGCAGCGCGAACUGGUUUCCUUGAGUACGCACAAAGUGGGCGGAAUUCGUGGUGUAGCGGUGAAAUGCUUAGAUAUCACGAAGAACUCCGANUG
rnacentral:rRNA from 1 species